CCAGACUCCUACGGGAGGCAGCCGUGGGGACUCUUGGACAAUGGGGGGCCCCCUGAUCCAGCGACGCCGCGUGCGUGACGAAGUAUUUCGGUAUGUAAAGCUCUAUCAGCAGGGAAGACAGAAAUGACGGUACCUGACUAAGAAGCCCCGGCUAACUACGUGCCAGCAGCCGCGGUAAUACGUAGGGGGCAAGCGUUAUCCGGAUUUACGGGGGGGAAAGGGAGCGUAGACGGCUAUGCAAGUCUGGAGUGAAAGGCGGGGGCCCAACCCCCGGACGGCGCGGGAAACGGGAGAGCGAGAGGGCAGGAGAGGUAAGGGGAAUGCCUAGGGGAGCGGUGAAAGGCGGAGAGAGUAGGAGGAACACCAGGGGCGAAGGCGGCUGACGGGACGGGAACUGACGGGGAGGCGCGAAAGCGGGGGGAGCAAACAGGAGGAGAGACCCGGGUAU
rnacentral:rRNA from 1 species